rnacentral:lncRNA from 8 species
CAACGGACGAGUAGCUGUUAUAAUCACCGUCCGGUAAGUCUGGAAUAUAUUGUUGCAUGGUAAACGGUGGUAAUAGGAUUCUUGUUUUUUCUUGUUUUAUUAUUGGCUAACGAGUCCCAUGCUUAUACAGGCAGAUCAUCCUCUCUUGCGUUAGAGACAACCUACUGCAACACUGUCACGGAAAAAACAGUAGUUUACUGGGCUAUUCCAUUAAUACUCUCCUCCAAUACCGAAUACACAACUGGGACCAAAGAAAGUCUCCAUUCCAUCUUUCCUGUCCCGCCUGUCUCUCUCUCCUUCCCUUCCUUUCUGUCUCUCUUCCCCUGUCUCCCCCCUCCUUUCCUUCUCUCUCUGUGAUGAGGAGCUGUGGGUAAGGCUGUGGGUGAGGGUCCGUGUCCAGUCUGAAGCUGGGGAAGCUAAAGGUGGUGCGGCGGCAGCUGCUGCAGAGGUAAACUACUAGUGUGUGUGUUGUCUUGUGUAGAAGAUUCCAUUCUAAAUGAUAGAUGAUACAGUACUAUAGUUUAAGCUGUCGUUAACAGGUAUACUAGUAUCAUUAUAGUGUGUUGUUCUCAGGUGAUAUUAUAGUAUAUUCUUGUAUAUUGCAUUAUAUUUUAGUAUUAUUGUAGUAUAUUCUUGUAUAUUGCAUUAUAUUAUAGUAGUAUAUUCUUGUAUAUUGCAUUAUAUUAUAGUAUUAUUGUAGUAUGUUUGUCAAGUGUCAGUGUGUAGCGGGUCGGACGAAGUCAGGCGCAGGACACAGAACUGAGUAAAAAUGUAACUUUACUCGAAAAUAAACCAAACAUAUAUUCCACACUGGGAAACACACCAGCUCACAGAAAUACUGACCACUUCACAAUGAACAAACACGCACAAAACCAUGUGGGAACCAGAGGGUUAAAUAGGGAGUAAAUUAUAACGUAAUGGAAACCAGGUGUGGAUAAUCAAGACAAAACAACAUAGAAAAAGAAACGUAGAUCGGUGGUGGCUAGAAAGCCGGUGACGUCGACCGCUGAACGCCGCCUGAACAGGGAGAGGCACCAACUUCGGCGGAAGUUGUGACAGUAACCCCCCCUUGACACCGGCCUCGGGGACGACCCGGAGGACGAGGCGCAGGACGAUUCGGGUGGAGACGGUGAAAUUCCUGCAGUAAGGAAGGGUCCAGGAUGUCCUCCACCGGCACCCAGCAUCUCUCCUCCGGACCGUACCCCUCCCACUCCAAGAGGUACUGAAGGCCCCUCGCCCGACGCCUUGAGUCCAUGAUGGCUCGUACAGUAUACGCCGGGGCCCCCUUGAUGUCCAGAGGGGGCGGAGGAACCUCCCGCACCUCAGACUGCUGGAGCGGACCAGCCACCACCGGCCUGAGAAGAGACACAUGGAACGAGGGGUUAAUACAGUAAUCAGGGGGAGCUGUAACCUAUAACAAACCUUGUU